GACGAACGCUGGCGGCGUGCUUAACACAUGCAAGUCGAACGAAGUGGCGAACGGGUGAGUAACGCGUAAUCAACCUGCCAUUCAGAGGGGGACAACAGUUGGAAACGACUGCUAAUACGGCAAACGGCAGGAGGGGAUUGCGUCGGAUUAGCUAGUGGGGGGGGUAACGGCACACCAAGGCGAUGAUCAGUAGCCGGUCUGGGAGGAAGACCGGCCACAUUGGGACUGAGACACGGCCCAGCCUCCUACGGGAGGCAGCAGUGGUGAAUCUUCCUCAAUGGACGAAAGUCUGAUCCAGCCAUGCCGCGUGUGUGAAGAAGGUCUUCGGAUUGUAAAGCACUUUAAGUUGGGAGGCGUUACCAACAGAAUAAGCACCGGCUAACUUCGUGCCAGCCGCCGCGGUAAUAC
rnacentral:rRNA from 1 species